AACGUAGGGCGCGAGCGUUAUCCGGAUUCACUGGGCGUAAAGCGCGUUGAGGCGGCUCCGUAAGUUGGGCGUGAAAGCCCCGGGCUCAACCCGGGGAGGCCGUCCAAUACUGCGGGGCUUGAGGGCAGCAGAGGGAGGUGGAAUUCCCGGUGUAGUGGUGAAAUGCGUAGAUAUCGGGGGGAACACCCGUGGCGAAGGCGGCCUCCUGGACUGCUCCUGACGCUGAAGGCGAAAGCCAGGGGAGCGAACGGG
rnacentral:rRNA from 1 species